rnacentral:rRNA from 1 species
UACAGAGGGUGCGAGCGUUAAUCGGAAUUAUUGGGCGUAAAGGGUGCGUAGGUGGUUAGAUAAGUUAGAUGUGAAAGUCCUAGGCUCAACCUAGGGAUUGCAUUUAAUACUAUUUAGCUAGAGUACUGUAGAGGAAAGUGGAAUUUCCGGUGUAGCGGUGAAAUGCGUAGAUAUCGGAAGGAACGCCGGUGGCGAAAGCGGCGUGCUGGACCCUUUCUGACGCUGAGGCGCGAAAGCCAGGGGAGCGAACGGG